rnacentral:lncRNA from 1 species
GAACACAAAAUGGCGACACGUGGUUAGCAUUCGUCGCCAACGAGAAAUUGGGGUCGGCCCGAAAGCUCUAGAAUGCACCCCUCUUCCUCCCCGGGGCCUUCCACCUCCGCGAGUUUUAUGACUUAAAAAAGCCCACAGGCUGGUCUGAAGAGGAAGACAAACAUAAAGAUGAAGUGCUUAAUUCAAGGUCACACAAUGUCGGGGAUGGACCUCCAGAUUUCCUUACUGACCUGCAUUAUCUUGUGGAUACCUGAGUGAAUUCCACACCACCCAUUUUAUAGAUGAAACCACUGAGACAUGGAGCAAUUGACUGAGUAGUCACUGCCCCACCCCUGCCUGGAGCCUCACACAUGACUCGCCUCCUCUCAGUGACCACAGGUGAGACGUGGUCUUGUAACACAGUGGUUAAGAAUGUGACUUUGGAGCCAGCCUGCUAGGGGCUGAAUUCUGACUCAGCCAUUUACUAACUGUGUGACCUUAGGUCACAGAAUUUUCCACACUCCUUGACAGAGGUGCUUAACCCUUAUCCAUCAGCAUUCUCAGACAG